rnacentral:misc_RNA from 1 species
UACGGAGGGAGCUAGCGUUGUUCGGAAUUACUGGGCGUAAAGCGCACGUAGGCGGCUAUUCAAGUCAGGGGUGAAAUCCCGGGGCUCAACCCUGGAACUGCCUUUGAAACUGGAUGGCUAGAAUCUUGGAGAGGCGAGUGGAAUUCCGAGUGUAGAGGUGAAAUUCGUAGAUAUUCGGAAGAACACCAGUGGCGAAGGCGGCUUACUGGACCAUUCUUGACGCUGAGGUGCGAAAGCGUGGGGAGCAAACAGG